UCAAACAAAGUUCAAAUUAACCCCUUUUUGUUUUUAUUGUAAAACAAUGCUUGUUUUGCCAUUUUGAAGCUGGAUGUGAUAAGCCAGGAUUGGAUCUAACUCCAAAGCCAAGCACACCACACAUUUACUGGCAAAUGACUUGGCUGACAAGUCCACCUUGGUCAGUUUUCCUUUCUGCCUUUAAUAAUAAUGCAGAAUUACAAAAUCACCUCGCUUUACGAACAUGUGUUAUCCACUAUGGCCUAAAACUAACUGAGCCAAUAGAGUCACAUGAAGGCCUUUACUAAUUUGACACAGAAACAGAGCUAGUGGCUGUUUCCUUCAUUCAUUAUUUCAUUAUUGCAAUAACAUACUUGACAUAGCAUCUUGCCGUGUCACAGCAAGGAUUUCACAGCAAAUUUGCUUCCAUCGCAUUCAACCUUUUGCCAAUUCACACACUUUGUCAACUGUGGUGUGAACAUGUUUCAGCUGUUUGUGCUGGUGCAGAUCAUAAGAAGCAUCUGUAAGAUUUUAGAGCAUCAAGACUGAAAGGUAAAAUCUGAUAUUGCCGCUUUAGGCAUGUAGACAGGCAGGAUCUGGCAUGUUGGGUUUCAAGCAGCAAAUUCUUGGCAAAGCAACCAGCCUCAAUUUUGUAGACCUGUCCACAUAACCUUAGUUCAUUUUGAUGAAUCGGGGUUGGAGUGGUUGGUUUGGUGGAACAGCACUGAUGGACGCAGGUGUUCUUAAGGCGGUUGACCAGACUGACACCCAGGAUUUGGCACAGGCACCUUAUCUGUGAGAUUUCGAGCUUGUCCAUGCCCUCAUUCAGUAGGAUCCAGUACUUAGAGCCAUACAGAAGUGUAGUAAUAAUGAGAGGUUUUGCAGUUGUGUGGCUUCUAACCACAUGAUGUUAACUUGUAAGCCAUUUUGGAUGAUCAUAGUGGAAGUGUAGGGUCAAGUGAAUUUGGUCCCUGUCACACAGGCCUAGACAGACACUGGUCCACAACCAUUGGUUGCUGAGGAAAAAUUUAUAUUCCCUAACGUUGGCAAGUUGGCACGCACUUUGCCAACCUUUACUACCGCGUGUCAAGUAGUCAAAGAAAAGAGAGAGUAAAAAAGAGAGCUUCUAAAAAAAAAAAAGAGUUGCUACAAAGAGAGUAGCAACCAAAGCAAUCAUGAGGUUUUUGGUGCUGCAUACUCUUUGCAACCGACUUACCCAGCAACCCCCAAGAACCACUGCCAACAAAUCUGGGAAUGCACGUUUUUCCCCAGCAGCUGGUGGCUUCCCUAGCAAGUUAAAACCUUUUUUAAGGUUUCUCACUUGACAUUAUGCACACGUUGCUCAAGUGAUGUUCAAAUAUUAGAUAUAAUGCAACCAAAAACAUCCUAUUGAUUGCAUGGCUGCCUGUAGUUUUUCAUGUUUGCAGCUUACUAUCUAUCUCUAUCAAACUAAGUGUGAUGCAGAGCAGAAACUACACCUUGGAGAACAGCUAGACAGAUUUUGUAGACAAGUUUAAUUUGCUCAACAAUAUGCUAAAAACCAAGGCAAUUACCAAGAGGCAUUUAGAUGCCAGUUUCUCUAGCGACAGGGUGUCACUGAAAGUGGGGCUGCGUGACUCGAGCUUUAUCAAUCCUCCCAGCAACUACUGGAAACUAGUUGUGGAAUCUUCAUUUUCCCUCACAACCGGCUUGCCUGGUCUCUAAGCCCGAGUGUCACGAUUCCAAAAUGGCACAUUUUUGCAAAACCUCAAUAUAGUCAAGAAUAGUUAACAAUUGCUGGUCAUUAAAAAAAAAGAAAAAAAAGAAAGAAUUUAGAUUUAACGAACUUAACCACAGUCCACACACUUAACUGUCAUUUUUUUCACUAGAAAUCGUUUACAAAUUUCCCAUAUCCUUAUCAGAUAAUGUGGCAGUCGUUAACUGACUACUGACACAACAAUUAGACCGAAAGUGAUUUGAAUGCUGUUAAAACAGGAAAUUAAUCAACAGCCUGGAAAACCCAGAACUCUCCUUCGUGACGUCGUCUAUCAUACCACAGCAGAGAGUGCGAGUGGGAGAGUCAGAGGCAGACCUUGCGGGCAGAGCAGCUGGUUGGAUGAAGAGUUCCUCACCUCGCACGAAGAAACACCGUGUGAACUAACAGACGGACAAAAUAACCAAACAACUUAACUGGUUUCUUUGCUAAUCUGUGCCGUGCCGUGUCGUGACCGGUGGAGAAACAAAGCCUGCACAGCUUCGAGAAACGAGAGAGAACAACAGUUUACAGAUCGGUGGAUAGUCUGGCAGCUCUUCCUCACACAAACCAUGGUGGCGGCCAUCCUGAAAAUGUAUUUCUUUGGAACAGCACUUUCUGUCCUUGCAGUCCUUUAUGAAAUAGCGGACUCCGUUGGUGGUCUCAUGCAUGUGCAGGACCAUCACUACUUACAGGAGCUGAACCAACAGACAGAGAGUGACAUUUCUUCAAACAACUGGAGAGGGCGGCCCGUGACUAAAAACAUUGGCUCAUGAGAAGAUCGUCAUGUUGUAGUUUUUGGACAUGUUCCUCAACUGUCUGCAAGGACAUGGAAUUUUCACUGAUGUGGAUUUAUGGUCCAAAUGGAUCUCUCUGUUUGGGCACUUUUUUGUAGCCCGUUGUCUGCUGUGAUAUCUUGUAGCAGCUAUUCUGUAAAAAGCACUACUGAACACAGAACAUGUUCCUUGUGUUAAAAGUACACAUUUUGUAUAUAAUUUUCUAAACAAAGUGAAUUAAAACUGUUUUUUUUAAGGGGGUUGGGGGGAUUUUUUUGAUGAAUGCUUUUGAUGUGUGUAAGUUUAUUGCAGCCUUUUGGUUUGGUAGUGAUCAUGCAAUUGAACUUGGAGACAAAAAGAGAAAUGCAGGCUGCCAUAAAACUAACAGGCCUUAACAAAACAUGACUUCUCUAGAAAAGAGAGAAAAAAAAAAAAAAAAACCUUCAGGCUGCCAGCAAAAAUUGUGCAACAAGGUCCCCACUGUGUAAAGAUCUGUCUGCCUUUUUGUUGUGAGUAAGGUUUUGUGAAUCAAAUAUGGGUUGCGCGACAAAGCUGGGAAAUGAUCUGUAAAACAUGAAAACCAUGACUCUGUGCAUGAUUUCAACAUGAAUAAAGAUAAAUUGUUAUAAAUAAA